CUAGUAUAAGCAAUUAUACAGCGAAACUGCGAAUGGCUCAUUAUAUAAGUUAUCGUUUAUUUGAUAGUACCUUACUACAUGGAUAACCGUGGUAAUUCUAGAGCUAAUACAUGCUAAAAAUCCCAACUUCGGAAGGGAUGUAUUUAUUAGAUUAAAAACCAAUGCCCUCCGGGGCUCACUGGUGAUUCAUAAUAACUUCUCGAAUCGCAUGGCCUUGCGCCGGCGAUGGUUCAUUCAAAUUUCUUCCCUAUCAACUUUCGAUGUUUGGGUAUUGGCCAAACAUGGUUGCAACGGGUAACGGAGGGUUAGGGCUCGACCCCGGAGAAGGAGCCUGAGAAACGGCUACUACAUCCAAGGAAGGCAGCAGGCGCGCAAAUUACCCAAUCCCGACUCGGGGAGGUAGUGACAAUAAAUACUGAUACAGGGCUCUUUUGGGUCUUGUAAUUGGAAUGAGUACAAUUUAAAUCCCUUAACGAGGAACAAUUGGAGGGCAAGUCUGGUGCCAGCAGCCGCGGUAAUUCCAGCUCCAAUAGCGUAUAUUAAAGUUGUUGUGGUUAAAAAGCUCGUAGUUGAACCUUGGGCCUGGCUGGCCGGUCCGCCUCACCGCGUGUACUGGUCCGGCCGGGCCUUUCCCUCUGUGGAACCCCAUGCCCUUCACUGGGUGUGGCGGGGAAACAGGACUUUUACUGUGAAAAAAUUAGAGUGCUCCAGGCAGGCCUAUGCUCGAAUACAUUAGCAUGGAAUAAUAGAAUAGGACGUGUGGUUCUAUUUUGUUGGUUUCUAGGACCGCCGUAAUGAUUAAUAGGGACAGUCGGGGGCAUCAGUAUUCAAUUGUCAGAGGUGAAAUUCUUGGAUUUAUUGAAGACUAACUACUGCGAAAGCAUUUGCCAAGGAUGUUUUCAUUAAUCAGGAACGAAAGUUAGGGGAUCGAAGACGAUCAGAUACCGUCGUAGUCUUAACCAUAAACUAUGCCGACUAGGGAUCGGACGGUGUUAUAUUUUGACCCGUUCGGCACCUUACGAGAAAUCAAAGUGCUUGGGCUCCAGGGGGAGUAUGGUCGCAAGGCUGAAACUUAAAGAAAUUGACGGAAGGGCACCACCAGGGGUGGAGCCUGCGGCUUAAUUUGACUCAACACGGGGAAACUCACCAGGUCCAGACACAAUGAGGAUUGACAGAUUGAGAGCUCUUUCUUGAUUUUGUGGGUGGUGGUGCAUGGCCGUUCUUAGUUGGUGGAGUGAUUUGUCUGCUUAAUUGCGAUAACGAACGAGACCUUAACCUGCUAAAUAGCCCGUAUUGCUUUGGCAGUACGCUGGCUUCUUAGAGGGACUAUCGCUCAAGCCGAA
rnacentral:rRNA from 1 species